ensembl:lncRNA
CGGGGAUUCAAGGGUUACCUUGUGUUGGUAAAAUUAUGAUUAAAUGACUGAACAAAUCAUUUUAAAUGGAACUGUAACUAAGUAAACUUAUACUCUGUUUUAUUAUAUCUGAUUAACAAUAUGAGUUCAUACGAUGGUAAGACAGUGAGUGCAUUCCUAAGUUUUCUGUUAAUUAGAACUGUCAGCUCAGUGGUGAUCGAUAAUGUUGAGGGGUCAAAAGUUACCUGGGAGUGUGUUAGUAAGUUAGAAUGAACUUUUCACCUCACUUUGUCCCGGUCGAGAGGAGGGGAUUCUGUUAAAGCAAUGAAAUGAUGUCAUGAUUUGUAUAUAAACUGUUGCUCGUGGUGAAAUGGGAGCGCGCUCUGAGAAUAAAUUCUGUUACCUAUUAUUUAAAAAGACUGGUCUCCUUCUAUUUUAUGCAAACAAGAAUCUUACAAAUUCUCAUAAAAUAGAUUAAGGGUAUUCAAUUAAUGAAAGCACAUUGGCAUAAUUAAAUUAUAUUAACACCUUGUGACCAAGGACUGCCGGGGGUUCAAAGGGGGAACCUGGAGAGCCCAGUCCCAAAGGAAGCCAAGUACAAAACAACACGUGUGUUUAGUCCUUUUGCUUUUUAGAUGUGUUCAUGACUUAUAUUUUAAGAAACAGCAGUUAAUGGUGUUUUCAUUUUUCAUCGUCACCCUCCCAUUCUCUUUCUCUGGGGUGAGAGGGGGAAUAACGGUGUGCCUGAGACCCCUGGGACAAGCGUAUGUAACUUUUCCCCACUCUCGACUCUACUUGAGGGGCAUGCAUUACUCGUAACUGAUAUAGAUGUUCACACUGCCUUUUUAGACUCUGAUUUCAUGUUUUUCCAUCUCAUUGCCGCUCUGUAGGGUGAAACUGGGCUCAGAGGCAGCAAAGGAGAGGUACGUUUCAUUAGUUUGUAAAUAUCUCACUUCUCAAAUGUAACUUAUUUUCUUCUUCAGAAAUCUGCCUAUACAGACCUACAGGUCUAUUUUGAAGACUGUAACCCAUUUUCAUCUACAGUUUUCAUGCGAGUAAAGUCAUACCAUAUAAAACAAAUAUCACGAUAGGCUAAUUCCUUCUUUCGACAUCGCUGUAUCUUUUUGUGUCAGUAAAAUGUAUUAUGUGUUAUCAUAUCGAAGUAAAUUUGGAGUCACACAAUGAAAUUGUGUGUCCCACUAACACUCGGGAAACCACGCAGUUUAAAUUUGGUUACAGAAAAAUGUUGAUUAACUUCACAGAGUGGUGAAAGUGCAAGGGUCUUAUUCUGGUGACAUGAGGAUCGAUGCUGAUUUGACAAAUUAAAACAUUUUCGCUCUUAUCCAUAAUCUCAUCAUGUCGACUAGCCUACCGCCAGAGCUUAUCUGUACUGUAUCUGCGAUCUGUUGGCUAAAGUGCACGUGCCAAGAUCAGAGUAGGUACAUUUACUAUUUAACGCAACAGUUUUUGUGCCGAAACUAUCCAUAGAGUUGAACAUGCAAUGGAAACACAUUGAACAUUAGAUUUAAGCAAAAAAGUCAAGUUUGUGUGCACUACGUCCUCUCCCACUGAUUUAUAUCUGUAAGUCCGUUUGGUGGAAACACUACUGGUGGGGAAAGCAUAUCUUUUCUUCAUGCAGAUUUUGGAAUAUUGGCAUGAAAAUGUGUCACCAAUUGGAUGGAAACCUACGUAGCUACACAAACCACAUUAUUUCACCAACACUGACACAAACAAACAGAAUACAAUUCUGAUGAAGAGAAGGGAAUCUAUUUCAGUAUAUAGUGGUUAGGUCAGCUCCACAUAACCGCCUCCAAUGUCUCAUGCAAACUUCUUGGUCUGUGACAAGUAGUCCAUACAUGUAAUGUGGUUUGGACAUUACCACUUAUGCGUCACACUGUACAUAUUCAAUGGAAUCAAAAACAUAAACAAACAGAAAAAUUCUAUGCAGACAUUGGUUUUAAAAAGUAAAGUGAAUUCUACAGACUGCAAACUUACAACAGGUACAGAUGAAGUCGGAAGUUUACAUACACUUUAGGUUGGAGUCAUUAAAACUCGUUUUUCAACCACUCCACAAAUGUCUUGUUAACAAACUAUAGUUUGGGCAAGUCGGUUAGGACUUCUACUUUGUGCAGGACACAAGUCAUUUUUCCAACAAUUGUUUACAGACAGAUUAUUUCACUUAUUAUUCACUGUAUCACAAUUCCAGUGGGUCAGAAGUUUACAUACUCUAAGUUAACUGUGCCUUUAAACAUCUUGGACAAUUCCCGAAAAUGAAGCAUGGCUUUAGAAGCUUCUGAUAGGCUAAUUGACAUCAUUUGUGUCAAUUGGAGGUGUACCUAUGGAUGUAUUUCAAGGCCUACCUUCAAACUCAGUGCCUCUUUGCUUGACAUCAUAGGGAAAUCAAAAGGAAUCAGCCAAGACCUCAGAAAAUCAAUUGUAGACCUCCACAAGUCUGGUUCAUCCUUGGGAGCGAUUUCCAAACGCCUGAUGGUACCACGUUCAUCUGUACAAACAAUAGUACGCAAGUAUAAACACCAUGGGAACACGCAGCCGUCAUACCGCUCAGGAAGAAGACGUGUUCUGUCUUCUAGAGAUGGAAGUACUUUGGUGAGAUAAGUGCAAAUCAAACCCAGAUCAACAGCAAAGAACCUUGUGAAGAUGCUGGAGGAAACAGGUACAAAAGUAUCUACAUCCACAGUAAAACGAGUCCUAAAUCGACAUAACCUGAAAGGCCGCUCAGCAAGGAAGAAGUCACUGCUCCAAAACCGUCAUUAAAAAGCCAGACUACGGUUUGAAACUGCACAUGGGGACAAAGAUCGUACUUUUUGGAGAAAUGUCCUCUGAUCUAAUGAAACAAAAAUAGAACUGUUUGGCCAUAAUGACCAUCGUUAUGUUUGGAGGGAAAAGGGGGAAGCUUGCAAGCCGAAGAACACCAUCCCAACCAUGAAGCAUGGGGGUGGCAGCAUCAUGUUGUGGGGGUGCUUUGCUGCAGGACGGACUGGUGCACUUCACAAAAUAGAUGGCAUCAUGAGGGAGGAAAAUUAUGUGGAUAUAUUGAAGCAACAUCUCAAGACAUCAGUCAGGAAGUUAAAGCUUGGUCGCAAAUGGGUCUUGGUCACUGCUGGUUCUUGUGCCUCUCCUGGACAAGAUGGGUUACCAGGGCAACCAGGAGAGCAUGGAUACCCAGGGAAACCCGGCAAGCCACCAACUGAUGACCACUUGAUUAAGCUUUGUGCUAAUGUACUUCUGAGUAUGUUCCCUGCUAUUUGUUUUAAUGUAUGACCAUUAUCUGUUGUAUGGAUUAUUGAAGAUUUAGACUGUUUCAAAUGAUAGACUCCAGAAUGCUUGCUAGGAAUGAGGGCAUUAGGCAAUCACUGAUUGUUUUUAUUUUUUCACCAAGUGCACGUAUCCAGGGCAUUUCGAAAUAGUGAGGAUGUUCGUAAUUGAAGAUCUAAGACAGCAUACAGCAGCAUCCUGUUGGUCUACACAUCAUAACAACAUGUUAACUGAACUACCCCCUGGGAACAUCUGGAGCACUAGUGCAGCUUUCAUUUCUGCAUUUUGGAGAAAAAAACACACAUCCUCUGCAACACACAUUGUUGCCUAAUCUCUGUGUCUGGGUAGGACUCAGUACACAUUUCUAUUUUAGACCACAACUCUUGGAGAUACAUAAUAACAUGCUGACAGUAGUGAAGAAAAUCUGAAUCUGGCUCUGAACUAAACAAAUGCAUAGACCUACUAUUCAGUGGAACAAUGUAUAUGACAAAAUAGCAACAAUACAGUAUGGUGUUGCCUGGCAAUCCAAACUCUGUGCUCCAGCCAAACGCUACAACACGCUUACGAACAUUAGCUUCUUCUCUGCAAUGAGUCUAGAUCUGAGUACCUUCCUGACAAUUUCUAGAAGGGAAACACAUUCUAACCGUUCUGAUUGGUCCCAUAAACCGAUGGUUUGUUUUGUCGGCCACAAAUAAUCCUAUCCUUAUUGUCCUUGUUCUAUAAAUGGCACACAAUUCUUUGUCUGACAACUAAAACUGACUUAUUUCGCUGCUCUAUGUUCCCCUCAUACUUCAAUCUGAGAUUGCCAUCAUUGAAAUAUUCAAAAUAUUAUUCUAAUAGUGCUGAUCAUGAUGACAGAUAUUCUUGGCAAAAUCACAAAGUUACAUUAUGACACAUGUCAACUGUUAUAUCUUUUUUUGUUUUGUUUAUUUAUUUAAUUUGUAUUAGUCUUUAAAAAAAUUGAGGGUAGAUCAGCUUUAAUAGUGCAUAUAAAAUGUAUAUUCCAUCAAUGUAAUCUGCAUAAUUUCCAAUCCCCCAUAAAUGUUCUGGGUGUUUAUAUAUAUAUACAGUGGGGCAAAAAAGUAUUUAGUCAGCCACCAAUUUUGCAAGUUCUCCCACUUAAAAAGAUGAGAGAGGCCUGUAAUUUUCAACAUAGGUACACUUCAACUAUGACAGACAAAAUUAGAAAGAAAAUCCAGAAAAUCACAUUGUAGGAUUUUUAAUGAAUUUAUUUGCAAAUUAUGGUGGAAAAUAAGUAUUUGGUCAAUAACAAAAGUUUAUCUCAAUACUUUGUUAUAUACCCUUUGUUGGCAAUGACAGGGGUCAAACGUUUUCUGUAAGUCUUCACAAGGUUUUCACACACUGUUGCUGGUAUUUUGGCCCAUUCCUCCAUGCAGAUCUCCUCUAGAGCAGUGAUGUUUUAGGGGUGUUGCUGGGCAACACGGACUUUCAACUCCCUCCAAAGAUGUUCUAUGGGGUUGAGAUCUGGAGACUGGCUAGGCCACUCCAGGACCUUGAAAUGCUUCUUACGAAGCCACUCCUUUGUUGCCCGGGCGGUGUGUUUGGGAUCAUUGUCAUGCUGAAAGACCCAGCCACGUUUCAUCUUCAAUGUCCUUGCUGAUGGAAGAAGGUUUUCACUCAAAAUCUCACGAUACAUGGUCCCAUUCAUUCUUUCCUUUACAGGGAUCAGUCGUCCUGGUCCCUUUUCAGAAAAACAGCCCCAAAGCAUGAUGUUUCCACCCCAUGCUUCACAGCAGCUAUGGUGUUCUUUCGAUGCAACUCAGCAUUCUUUGUCCUCCAAACACAACAAGUUGAGUUUUUACCAAAAAGUUAUAUUUUGGUUUCAUCUGACCAUAUGACAUUCUCCCAAUCUUCUUCUGGAUCAUCCAAAUCUCUAGCAAACUUAAGACGGGCCUGGACAUGUACUGGCUUAAGCAGGGGGACAAGUCUGGCACUGCAGGAAUUGAGUCCCUGGCGGCGUAGUGUGUUACUGAUGGUAGGCUUUGUUACUUUGGUCCCAGCUCUCUGCAGGUCAUUCACUACGUCCCCCCGUGUGGUCUUGUAUGUCUUCCAUUUCCUAAUAAUUGCUCCCACAGUUGAUUUCUUCAAACCAAGCUGCUUACCUAUUGCAGAUUCAGUCUUCCCAGCCUGGUGCAGGUCUACAAUUUUGUUUCUGGUGUCCUUUGACAGCUCUUUGGUCUUGGCCAUAGUGGAGUUUGGAGUGUGACUGUUUGAGGUUGUGGACAGGUGUCUUUUAUACUGAUAACAAGUUCAAACAGGUGCCAUUAAUACAGGUAACGAGUGGAGGACAGAGGAGCCUCUUAAAGAAGAAGUUACAGGUCUGUGAGAGCCAGAAAUCUUGCUUGUUUGUAGGUGACAAAAUACUUAUUUUCCACCAUAAUUUGCAAAUUAAUUCAUUAAAAAUCCUACAAUGUGAUUUUCUGGAUUUUUUUCUUAUUUUGUCUGUCAUAGUUGAAGUGUACCUAUGAUGAAAAUUACAGGCCUCUCAUCUUUUUAAGUGGGAGAACUUGCACAAUUGGUGGCUGACUAAAUACUUUUUUCCCCCACUGUACCACUUGUGUCUGAGCCGUUGAAUUGCGACUCUACUUUGUCUCUAUUCUGGCGCUUAGCUUGUUUGAUUGCCUUGCGGAGGGAAUAGGUACACUUUGUAUUCGGUCAUGUUUCCGGUCACCUUGCCCUGGUUAAAAACUGUGGUUUGUGCUUUCAGUUUCAUGUGAAUGCUGCCAUCAAUCCACUGUUUCUGGGUUGGGAAUGUUUUAAUCGCUGCUAUGGGUACGACAUCGUCAAUACGUUUUCUAAUGAACUCGCUCACCGAAUCAGCGUAUUGUCAAUGUUGUUGUUUGAGGUGAGUCUGGGGUGAGGUUAUCAAUAGUAAGGCUAAUGUAGGGUUGACCACCCCCGCUUUUACUGGUCUAGAGAUCAGUAGUUGCAAGAAACCAUGUGGUUUGAGCCAAACUUUUUCGAACAUCAGCUUUAACCUGGUUGUACAGGUUUGGGAUUUCAGUCUUGGAAAAUAAUGUUUGUGAUGACACUUUGUAGUGAGGCACGGUAACCUUCAUUAUCCUCAGAAAGCCAGGCCUCUCAACAAUUUGAAAUGGCAUCAUGUCCUUUGCAAUGUAAUAUGAAAGGGCUGCAGUGAGGUCUUGAGCAUGUUUUGACAUGGUUGCAUAAGCUGCCUGCCUUUUAAAUGCUUGCUCGAGUGUCUGUGUCACAACUGUAGAUGAGGAGGGGGGGGGCCCACUAUGUAAACAAGGGAAUAGCAAAUGUAUUAUUAUUAUUAUGUGUUACAUUAUUAUUAUUCACUCACUCUGUCACGUGUGCUCCCUCUCUGACCUCUAGGUCUACAGGCUGCUCGUUAUGGCGCACACCUGUUACCAUCGUUACGCGCACCUGCACGUCGUCAGACUCACCUGGACUCCAUCACUUCGUUGAUUACCUGCCCUAUAUAUGUCACUCCCUUUGGUUCCUUCCCCAGUCGUCAUUGUUUCUGUUUCAUGUCUGUGUGUGUGUUGUCCAAGGUUCUUGUUUUGUAUUAUGUUCUGUUUGUUUUCUUAAACAUUUUUGCGUUUUUUUUUUUUUGGUCAGGCUCUCAUGCCUCAGCCAGAUCGACAGGCUCAGGAUCGUCCCUUGGGUUGGCAUCCUGCGGCUGGUGCCGAACACGCCGGGGAGGGGGUACCGUCAGUUAUGCUCUCUCUCCGGCUCUCUAGGUCGCCAUGCUCCUGCGUCUCAGCCGGAUAGAGUUUCCUGUGCCUCUGCAGAGGUGUCCGGUCCGCUCCUGUUCUCCGGGAUCGUCACUUUGGGUGGCGUUCUGCAGCUGGAGCCGCACGUCGGGAAGGGGGAAGGGGAUACUGUCAUGUGUGCUCCCUCUCCGACCUCUAGGUCACCAGGCUGCUCGUUAAGGCGAGGUUCUUGUUUUGUAUUAUGUUCUGUUUUAUUUUAUUAAAACACUCACUCUCUGAACUUGCUUCCCGACUCUAAGUGCACGUCGUUACUCACUCUCUCACACACUCACACACAGUAUCUUCUGUUUUGCAUUUGAGUAUAUGCAAUGACCCC